rnacentral:rRNA from 1 species
GACGUAGGGUCCGAGCGUUGUCCGGGGUUACUGGGCGUAAAGGGCGCGUAGGCGGUCAGCACAAGUCAGUUGUGAAAUCUCCGAGCUUAACUCGGAAAGGUCAACUGAUACUGUGCGACUAGAGUGCGGAAGGGGCAACUGGAAUUCCUGGUGUAGCGGUGAAAUGCGUAGAUAUCAAGAGGAACACCUGCGGCGAAGGCGGGUUGCUGGGCCGACACUGACGCUGAUGCGCGAAAGCCAGGGGAGCGAACGGG